AUUGAACGCUGGCGGCAGGCUUAACACAUGCAAGUCGAGCGGAGUGAUGGUGCUUGCACUAUCACUUAGCGGCGGACGGGUGAGUAAUGCUUAGGAAUCUGCCUAUUAGUGGGGGACAACAUCUCGAAAGGGAUGCUAAUACCGCAUACGUCCUACGGGAGAAAGCAGGGGAUCACUUGUGACCUUGCGCUAAUAGAUGAGCCUAAGUCGGAUUAGCGAGUUGGUGGGGUAAAGGCCUACCAAGGCGACGAUCUGUAGCGGGUCUGAGAGGAUGAUCCGCCACACUGGGACUGAGACACGGCCCAGACUCCUACGGGAGGCAGCAGUGGGGAAUAUUGGACAAUGGGGGGAACACUGAUCCAGCCAUGCCGCGUGUGUGAAGAAGGCCUUAUGGUUGUAAAGCACUUUAAGCGAGGAGGAGGCUCUUCUGGUUAAUACCCAAGAUGAGUGGACGUUACUCGCAGAAUAAGCACCGGCUAACUCUGUGCCAGCCGCCGCCGUAA
rnacentral:rRNA from 1 species